rnacentral:rRNA from 1 species
CGCCCGGGUGAGUAACGCGCAUGCAACCUACCCAUCAGAGGGGAAUAACCCGGCGAAAGUCGGACUAAUACCGCAUAAAACAGGGGUUCCGCAUGGAAAUAUUUGUUAAAGAAUUAUCGCUGAUAGAUGGGCAUGCGUUCCAUUAGAUAGUUGGUGAGGUAACGGCUCACCAAGUCUACGAUGGAUAGGGGUUCUGAGAGGAAGGUCCCCCACACUGGUACUGAGACACGGACCAGACUCCUACGGGAGGCAGCAGUGAGGAAUAUUGGUCAAUGGGCGAGAGCCUGAACCAGCCAAGUCGCGUGAAGGAUGAAGGAUCUAUGGUUUGUAAACUUCUUUUAUAUGGGAAUAAAGUGAGGAACGUGUUCCUUUUUGUAUGUACCAUAUGAAUAAGCAUCGGGCUAACUCCGUGCCAGCAGCCGCGGU